AAAAGGUGGUUAUGCUACCGCUUUUGGAUGGGCCCGCGGCGCAUUAGCUAGUUGGUGGGGUAAAGGCUUACCAAGGCAAUGAUGCGUAGCCGAACUGAGAGGUUGAUCGGCCACAUUGGGACUGAGACACGGCCCAAACUCCUACGGGAGGCAGCAGUAGGGAAUCUUCCACAAUGGGCGAAAGCCUGAUGGAGCAACGCCGCGUGGGUGAAGAAGGUCUUCGGAUCGUAAAACCCUGUUGUUAGAGAAGAAAGUGCGUGAGAGUAACUGUUCACGUUUCGACGGUAUCUAACCAGAAAGCCACGGCUAACUACGUGCCAGCAGCCGCGGUAAUACGUAGGUGGCAAGCGUUAUCCGGAUUUAUUGGGCGUAAAGGGAACGCAGGCGGUCUUUUAAGUCUGAUGUGAAAGCCUUCGGCUUAACCGGAGUAGUGCAUUGGAAACUGGGAGACUUGAGUGCAGAAGAGGAGAGUGGAACUCCAUGUGUAGCGGUGAAAUGCGUAGAUAUAUGGAAGAACACCAGUGGCGAAAGCGGCUCUCUGGUCUGUAACUGACGCUGAGGUUCGAAAGCGUGGGUAGCAAACAGGAUUAGAUACCCUGGUAGUCCACGCCGUAAACGAUGAAUGCUAAGUGUUGGAGGGUUUCCGCCCUUCA
rnacentral:rRNA from 1 species